CCUACGGGUGGCAGCAGUGGGGAAUAUUGCACAAUGGGGGAAACCCUGAUGCAGCGACGCCGCGUGAAGGAAGAAGUAUUUCGGUAUGUAAACUUCUAUCAGCAGGGAAGAAAAUGACGGUACCUGUCUAAGAAGCCCCGGCUAACUCCGUGCCAGCAACCGCGGUAAUACGUAGGGGGCAAGCGUGAUGCGGUUUUACUGGGGGUAAAGGGAGCGUAGACGGCAUGGCAAGUCUGGUGUGAAAGGCAGGGGCUGAACCCCUGGACUGCAUUGGAUACUGGAAGGCUGGAGUGCAGGAGAGGUAAGUGGAAUUCCUAGUGGAGCGGUGAAAUGCGUAGAGAUUAGGAGGAACACCAGUGGCGAAGGCGACUUACUGGACUGUAACUGACGUUGAGGCUCGAAAGCGUGGGGAGCAAACAGGAUUAGAUACCCGAGUAGUC
rnacentral:rRNA from 1 species